rnacentral:lncRNA from 1 species
UGGGCUGGUGAUGGGGAAUAAAAUCACCCCAUUGCAGGUGAUGGAGCGGGAUAGUGGGGAUGCGGGUUGGGAGCCUGGGAGUAAAAACCUACCUCAUAUGCAUCCCUACUCGAGGGUGUGCCAUCUUAUUGACCUUUUCUAUACCUAUUUUUUUUGGGUCAGGCUGAUUGACAACUUGAUCAGCCUAGUGCUUGGAGACCAAC